GGGUGAGUAACACGUAUGGAACCUGCCCGUAGCAGGGGGAUAAGCGGAAGAAAUUCCGUCUAAUACCGCGUAAUAACUCCGAGAGGCAUCUCCUAGGGUUUAAAGGGUAACACCGGCUACGGAUGGCCAUGCGGCGCAUUAGCUAGUUGGCGGGGUAACGGCCCACCAAGGCGACGAUGCGUAGGGGUUCUGAGAGGAAGGUCCCCCACACUGGUACUGAGACACGGACCAGACUCCUACGGGAGGCAGCAGUGAGGAAUAUUGGUCAAUGGGCGCGAGCCUGAACCAGCCAAGUCGCGUGAGGGAAGACGGUCCUAUGGAUUGUAAACCUCUUUUGUCGGGGAGCAAAAGACGCCACGCGUGGCGUUCCGAGAGUACCCGAAGAAAAAGCAUCGGCUAACUCCGUGCCAGCAGCCGCGGUAAUACGGAGGAUGCGAGCGUUAUCCGGAUUUAUUGGGUUUAAAGGGUGCGCAGGCGGAAGAUCAAGUCAGCGGUAAAAUUGAGAGGCUCAACCUCUUCGAGCCGUUGAAACUGGUUUUCUUGAGUGAGCGAGAAGUAUGCGGAAUGCGUGGUGUAGCGGUGAAAUGCAUAGAUAUCACGCAGAACUCCGAUUGCGAAGGCAGCAUACCGGCGCUCAACUGACGCUCAUGCACGAAAGUGUGGGUAUCGAACAGGAUUAGAUACCCUGGUAGUCCACACAGUAAACGAUGAAUACUAAUUGUUCGGG
rnacentral:rRNA from 1 species